AUACUCCUCACCUUGAAUGUCUU
rnacentral:siRNA from 1 species